rnacentral:rRNA from 1 species
GACGAACGCUGGCGGCGUGCCUAACACAUGCAAGUCGAACGGAACUGUUUUGAAAGAUUUCUUCGGAAUGAAUUUGAUUUAGUUUAGUGGCGGACGGGUGAGUAACGCGUGAGUAACCUGCCUUCAAGAGGGGAAUAACAUUCUGAAAAGAAUGCUAAUACCGCAUGACAUAUCGGAUCCACAUGGUUUUGAUAUCAAAGAUUUUAACGCUUGAAGAUGGACUCGCGUCCGAUUAGUUAGUUGGUGAGGUAACGGCUCACCAAGACCGCGAUCGGUAGCCGGACUGAGAGGUUGAACGGCCACAUUGGGACUGAGACACGGCCCAGACUCCUACGGGAGGCAGCAGUGGGGGAUAUUGCGCAAUGGGGGCAACCCUGACGCAGCAACGCCGCGUGAAGGAUGAAGGUUUUCGGAUUGUAAACUUCUUUUAUUAAGGACGAAAAAUGACGGUACUUAAUGAAUAAGCUCCGGCUAACUACGUG